AUAGCCAUAAGAGAUGAACCAUUCAACAUUUUACCCAUUUGCCACUAUCCCAACUCAAGAAUAUGUAUCUUUCUAUGAGGUGUAUGAAUUUGAAUCAAAAGAUGUCGGCUCAAGCAUUGCUUACUGCCUUGUGGACUCGUCCUUUCCAUCUAAGCCCUAAUUACUUGUUGAGGGAGAUUGUUCGAAUGCCAAUAGAUAGGAGUAUAAACAGUCUCCCAUUCUGUGGAAGGUGUGUAUUUCAUCGUUUGUAGUGCCAUGAAGGUGAAGACAUUCUUAGGGGUGCCAAUGAGGGGCCGACACCCUUAGUCCCUUACUACUCUAGGGGUUCUUCGACACACACUCUUUAUUGAAGCGGACUUAAUGUAAGCAUUCCAAGAUGUGGCCUUGACAUAUCUUGAGUUAUGUAUUAUUUUGCUUUGUGGCUUCUUUGUGCCCUUCAAGAUUUAUGUAAUAAAAUUUCAUUGGUGAUUCACAUAGCAGGACCAAUCAAAAGAAAAAAAAAAAGAAUCUGCAUAACACGGUAUAGGGCCCAAUAAAAUCAAGGGGCAUAUUUGGAUUUCUUUGAAAUUGUUCCUUUCUUAAUAUUUCUCUCAGGAACUCUCGUUUGCAUCAUAUGGACAGAUUAUGCUUUUAGAGCC